rfam:Azorhizobium caulinodans ORS 571 DNA, complete genome.
UGCCGCUGCCCUCCUUGGGCGUUUCCUCCCUAGACUUGGGCCGCUCUGCGUGAGCGGCCCCUUUCUUUUUGGGGC